GGGGGUUUAGAUCAGUGGUAGAUCGUCCGCUUUGCAUGCGGAAGGCCGCGGGAUCGAGCCCCGCAACCUCCA
rfam:Spizellomyces punctatus DAOM BR117 chromosome Tnknown supercont1.1, whole genome shotgun sequence.